GGGGCUGGUGGAGCUGGUGUCGGU
rnacentral:siRNA from 1 species